rnacentral:rRNA from 1 species
AUUGAACGCUGGCGGCAUGCUUUACACAUGCAAGUCGAACGGUAACAGGCCGCAAGGUGCUGACGAGUGGCGAACGGGUGAGUAAUGCAUCGGAACGUGCCCAGUCGUGGGGGAUAACGCAGCGAAAGCUGCGCUAAUACCGCAUACGAUCUAUGGAUGAAAGCGGGGGACCGUAAGGCCUCGCGCGAUUGGAGCGGCCGAUGUCAGAUUAGGUAGUUGGUGGGGUAAAGGCUCACCAAGCCAACGAUCUGUAGCUGGUCUGAGAGGACAACCAGCCACACUGGGACUGAGACACGGACCAGACUCCUACGGGAGGCAGCAGUGGGGAAUUUUGGACAAUGGGCGCAAGCCUGAUCCAGCAAUGCCGCGUGCAGGAAGAAGGCCUUCGGGUUGUAAACUGCUUUUGUACGGAACGAAACGGUCCUGGUUAAUACCUGGGGCUAAUGACGGUACCGUAAGAAUAAGCACCGGCUAACUACGUGCCAGCAGCCGCGGUAACAC